UAGCGAUGAAGAAUUUAGCGUUAACUGUGAUCUGGGUCGAUCACAACCGUCUGAUCAUUCUGAUGAGUUCAGCAGCGCAAUCAGAGCUU